rnacentral:lncRNA from 1 species
UUUUUUUUUUUUUGAUUUGGGGGAGUUGGGGAGGAGGAGCUGUGGGGUUUGAACCCAAAACCUCACUGUUCACAGACAGGAGGUCGCACCGCUUGGUCAAAUCCAAACAUUUUAUAGGACAAAGAAGCCAAGUGCCAUAUAUAGACUGUCUAGACACUAAUCUAUCCAAAAUGAAAUUUACUUUUCACAAUCACCAAAAUGCUUAUCUUUACCUAACUAACAUAAG